CGAGCAUUUGACGUUCUAGUGGGAUUUGGAUACAACUCUGGAAUUGGAAAAUUCCAUCAGCUGGGCAAGUGAGCUAACCUUCUUUAGUGAACCCUGCUUUUCAGUAUUCCUGCUUUAUUGUUAAUCGGCUGGGGGCCUACAAAAACCAAUUUAUUUUGCAUAAUGUCUCAAAUGCGAAGUUUUGGACAAAUAGGCUUAGUGUUUGAAAGAUAUGAAUAAAUAAAUAAAUAAAAGGAAAUUGUUGUUACGUCAUCAUUAGUCUAGAUAACAUUAGUAUUGCCUGUGCAACAAAUGAGGAAGUAAAGAAUAUAAAAUUUUUUCUGAAAUGUUUCCCGAUUACUAAUAUUAAACACUAUCUUGGAAUUGAAACAUACAAAGACAAAAACGGAAAUUUUUAAGGGUUACAUUCAUAGAACUGUCAAAGAAUAUAGUUUAAGAAAUACAAAUCCAACCAGAACUCCAAUGGAAAAGGAGGAGAUUCUAAGCACCUAGACACGUAUGUUAAACACAUACCUUCUAUACAUAUCUGUUAAUACGAACAGACGAGAUAUUUAUGCUGUCGUUUGUAUUUUGGCGCAGAAGGUUUCUUACCCUACUAUAGAAGAAUGGAAAGAAUACUGCUACUAUUAAACUUCAAAUGAGCGACUAAACAAAAUACCAAGGUCUGAUUGGAUGCGCAGAUGCCAACUGGGUUGAUGAACGAUCACAAAGAAAAUCUAAUAGUGGCAGAAUAUGUUUCUACAAUGGCACUACAAUUGGUUGUCAUGUCAAAAGCAAACUUUAGUGGCAUCGCCAACCUGUGAAGCCGAUUAUAUUUCACUUUCAAAAGCAAAGCGGAUAAUGCAAAUAUUGGAAGAUAUUGAAGGACCAAUACCAAUAUUCAACGGCAAUCAAAGCUGUCUGCGGCUAGUUAAUGAUGACAAAUUUUCUUUCCAAACCAAACACGCUAAUAAAAAUUAACAAAACUUAGUACUUAGACUUACUAAAGAAAGGAAUAAUAACGUGCAUAUAUAGUCGAACGGAGGAAAUGAUGGCCGAUAAAUUAACCAAACAGCAUCUAAACAUAAGACUCUCUGCGACAAAUGCAAUUUAAAGUGAAUGACGAGGAGUCAAUGUGGUUUAAUGAUUAUUUGUUUCGCCAUGGAGGAGGAGUAUUGAAAUAAACUUGCAAUUUGUAUUUUAUGGAAUAGAAAAUUCCAUUUGGCUUAAUGUUAUUAAAUUUCGAAUCGAACAAAACGAUUAAAAUUAAAUUGUCUAAAUAUAUAGUGACUUAAGAACUUUGAUUCCGAAUCUACAUAUAUUUUCCUAAUAAUUGA
rnacentral:sRNA from 1 species